rnacentral:rRNA from 1 species
GUUCCUACGGGAGGCAGCAGUGGGGGAUAUUGCACAAUGGGGGAAACCCUGAUGCAGCGACGCCGCGUGGGCGAAGAAGUAUUUCGGUAUGUAAAGCCCUAUCAGCAGGGAAGAAGAAAUGACGGUACCUGAGUAAGAAGCACCGGCUAAAUACGUGCCAGCAGCCGCGGUAAUACGUAUGGUGCAAGCGUUAUCCGGAUUUACUGGGUGUAAAGGGAGCGUAGGCGGCGAUGCAAGUCAGAAGUGAAAGCCCGGGGCUCAACUCCGGGACUGCUGUUGAAACUGUAUGGCUAGAUUGCAGGAGA